GGGGAAUAUUGGACAAUGGGCGAAAGCCUGAUCCAGCAAUGCCGCGUGAGUGAUGAAGGCCUUAGGGUUGUAAAGCUCUUUUACCCGGGAUGAUAAUGACAGUACCGGGAGAAUAAGCUCCGGCUAACUCCGUGCCAGCAGCCGCGGUAAUACGGAGGGAGCUAGCGUUAUUCGGAAUUACUGGGCGUAAAGCGCACGUAGGCGGCUUUGUAAGUUAGAGGUGAAAGCCCAGAGCUCAACUCUGGAAUUGCCUUUGAUACUGCAUCGCUUGAAUCCAGGAGAGGUGAGUGGAAUUCCGAGUGUAGAGGUGAAAUUCGUAGAUAUUCGGAAGAACACCAGUGGCGAAGGCGGCUCACUGGACUGGGAUUGACGCUGAGGUGCGAAAGCGUGGGGAGCAAAC
rnacentral:rRNA from 1 species